CAGCCGUUUUCCGUUGCUCGUUGUUGGCAUCUUAAACGCCUACAAAGAGCGGCUGCGAUAUAUUUAUAUUGUAAUAUUGACAUUGAGUAGCGUUUCCGUCACUUUUCAUUGCAUCAUUGACGUUUAAACUCCGAAACUAGAAGUACACUCACUGUAUGACUGUAUGUGUGUAUGUUGUUACUGUAUGUUUACUUUAUCAGUUGUAAUGUAGGAUAACGAGACGUGUUGAGGUGAAGUAUUCUAAAAAGUAUUUUUUUCUUUCUCUAGUUGAAGCCUCUUUUUAAUCAUGCCGGGAACAAAAAUUGCGGAUGAAGAUCGGAAGAAAAUCGAUAAGAAAUUCAUCUGUACCAGUUGUAACAUGUUGUUGUGCAUUCCCAUGCAAACUCAAUGUGGACACUUGAUGUGUUCUGCUUGUCUGCAAACAUUGCUAGAG